rnacentral:rRNA from 1 species
GGAACCGGGAGAGGGUGAGGGGGUACUUCGGGGGUAGGAGUGAAAUCCUGUAAUCCUCGAGGGACCACCUGUGGCGAAGGCGCCUCACCAGAACGGCUUCGACAGUGAGGGACGAAAGCUGGGGAGCAAACCGGAUUAGAUACCCGGGUAGUCCCAGCCGUAAACGAUGUGCGUUAGGUGUAUCGGUGACCACGAGUCACCGAGGUGCCGAAGGGAAACCGUGAAACGUACCGCCUGGGGAAGUACGGUCGCAAGGCUGAAACUUAAAGGAAUUGGCGGGGGAGCACCACAACAGGUGGAGCCUGCGGGUUUUUAAAUUGGACUCAACGCCGGAAAUCUCACCGGAUAAGACAGCAGAAUGAUUGCCGGGCUGAAGACUCUGCAUGACUAGCUGAGGAGUGGUGCAUGG